AUUGAACGCUGGCGGCAGGCCUAACACAUGCAAGUCGAGCGGGAGCUUCGGUUCUAGCGGCGGACGGGUGAGUAAUGCGUAGGAAGCUACCCGACAGAGGGGAAUACCAGUUGGAAACGACUGUUAAUACCGCAUAAUGUCUACGGACCAAAGUGUGGGACCUUCGGGCCACAUGCUGUCGGAUGCGCCUACGUGGGAUUAGCUAGUUGGUGAGGUAAUGGCUCACCAAGGCGACGGUCCCUGGCUGGUUUGAGAGGAUGAUCAGCCACACUGGAACUGAGACACGGUCCAGACUCCUACGGGAGGCAGCAGUGGGGAAUAUUGGACAAUGGGCGCAAGCCUGAUCCAGCCAUGCCGCGUGUGUGAAGAAGGCCUUCGGGUUGUAAAGCACUUUCAGUAGGGAGGAAGGAUGUUGUGUUAAUAGCACAGCAUUUUGACGUUACCUACAGAAGAAGCACCGGCUAACUCUGUGCCAGCCGCCGCUGUAAGAC
rnacentral:rRNA from 1 species